GCCGGGCGUGGUGGUAUGUGCCUGUAGUCCCAGCUACUCAGGAGGCUGAGGUGGGAGGAUUGCUCUAGCCCAGGAGGUCAAGGCUGCAGUGAGCCGUGUUCAUGCCACUGCACUCUAGCCUGGAUGACAGAGCAAGACUCUGUCUUAAAUAAAUAAGUAAUAAUAAAAAUAGACAAGAUGUGCCACUGCACUCUAGCCUGGGCGACAGAGCGAGACUCUGUCUCA
rnacentral:sRNA from 1 species